AGAAGCAAGAACAGGCUGUGUGUCAGAGCUGGGAAGACCUUGGAAAGCAUGCUAACUAGCAGACGGGGCAUAGCGUGGUAUAAGCUACACCUACUGAGAGGCUGGUCCCGGUCAUUGACAGAGCAAGACAGAUCCUACAGAGAUAGGAUAAAGAGCCCAGCAGUAAGCAAAAUUUUGCUUCAUCCUCCACACCCCACACAAGAGUGUGUUUUCUUAGGAGAAAUCAUCAGAAUUGAAUUUGUGAAAAACAGCAGGGCAGAGUCUCUAAAAAUGCAGCCCCUGAAUCAAGACAGGACAGCUGAGUGUUGCUCUUUGGCUUGUGGCAAAACUUGGUUUUAGCUCAAUCUCGUUAUUAUUUCUCCAGAUACUGUUUGUAUUUUGUGUCAUAGAUCUGAAACCUAUUGAUUAACAAACAUCUUGCUCAAUGCUCCAUGCUGAACAACGGCAAUCUGGAAGUCAGGAGCAGUUCAAUGCCGAGAGCGUGUUUCAGGCAAGGCCGCUGACAGACAAGUCAUGUAAUAUGCUAUAAUGUUGUACCAGGGAAAAAGAGACUUGGAUGAUGACUACAGGAAAAAGAGCUAUAAAAGAGCAGGCAGCAGAUUCUUCCUUAUGUAUAUUUGAUCAGCCAGCUGUUGUCGCUCAGUUUCCUUACAGUGGUCAAAUUUCCUUCUAAAAUAAAGAACUUGAGGCUUCAAUUUGAGAAGAAACAGAUUAGUAAGAGCAAGCUUCUAGCCAAGGGAGAAGUUUGAGGAAGAAAUCAAAGCAACGACUCCUGCAGGAGGCAUGGGAAGGUACCGGUGGUGAACUGCUGAAGAAACUGCAUGGGAUCAUGAGAAUGAGGAUGGCAGAAGAAUCCCUGGGGAAGCGAGGAACAGCCCACGCACAGGAGCACCUGAAUCAAGGCCACAGUGAGGAUGCAGCAUUAAUAAGGCAAAAUCGGGUCCAGGCUGAUUUACCAUUAACAUCAUUAACGUACACACCCGCACAUCAGACUGCUUUUCACCAGAUCCUGAUUAGAUGAAGCAGAGGCCAACGAAGAAAUGGAGCCCUUGCCUCUUGGAGAAGUUUGACAAUGUUGCAUUACAGUAGUUGAAGCAAAUUAGUCUUUUCCAGACAGCAAUGUCUUUGCAAUUUUCUUAAAACCAUUCAUUUAAAAAAUGCUUUUCAAAUUACCAUGCAGGCUUCAUAGAACAAUUAUAAGUGCACAAACAAACCCUGUUGCACUGCUGUGCUAAUUACCCUCCAUGCUCCUGAUCUUUCAGGUUGCUGCCGUGUUGCAAUGGAGACUUAGAAGUGAGUUCCUGCUCCAUGUGCUGUAGGAAACAGUAGGUUGCAGAUAUACAGAAGUAAUUUCCUUGUCCGUAGCCAAUUCUGUCCUCAUGGCAGCAGGGUUUUAGAAGUUUCCCACACAACAACAACAACAAAGAUAUACUUUUUCUGUGGAAAAUACAUUUAUUUUUAUAAGCAAUUAUGAAAUUUACUAUUAGCCUAUAUAGCAUUGAUGACAAUAAGGACUCCCAAUGAAACUUCAGUGUGAAUUUGAUGGGAAAAAUGCAUCCUUUUCAUAAAGAUUAAAGUAAAAAUCUGCAUGGAGUAUUUAGCUUGGAAAGGAUGAAUGGAUAUUUCAGUGCUAGUGAUCUGUUUAGUCCAGAGGUGAAGCUGAAACAAAUCCUGCACUAAACACUGAUGCUAUGGGAUAAACCUGACUGCUUCUUUCUUUUCAAUCAGGAAAAGGAAAAAAAAAAAAAAAGUGACCUCUUGAUGUAUGCCUUGACAUAUGUUGAUAUAGAAAUAUUUUAAGUUAAUAUUAUUGAUUAUUUUGUUCACACCACAUUUCAACACUUUUGAUUCCUAUUAUGUUGCUGGAUUCAUCGUUUUCCUGUGUCUGUGCAUUCCAUGGGCAAAUUAGGCUGUAAAUACAUUAACGGUGCAUGCAGCCCUGUCUGUGCUCAUGGAUUUCUCCUCCAUUUUCACAUUGCAUGAAAAGCAGAAACACAUCUACUUUUCAGUAUCCUUCAUAAAUCGUUUUUACUUACUUGUAAACCUGCUGCAGAAUAAAGGAUAACUCUAUUACACUGUA